UGGGAUAUAGCUUAACUGGUAGAGCAGUGGUCUCCAAAACCGUCGGUAUAGGUUCGACUCCUAUUGUUCCAG
rfam:Mycobacterium abscessus strain PAP053 genome assembly, contig: ERS075544SCcontig000051